GAGGGUAUUGCUCAGCGGUAGAGCACAUGCUUAGCACGCUUGAGGUCCUGGGUUCAAUCCUCAGUACCUCCA
rnacentral:tRNA from 1 species